rnacentral:rRNA from 1 species
AAAGGAAUAGACGGGGGCCCGCACAAGCGGAGGAACAUGUGGUUCAAUUCGAUGAUACGCGAGGAACCUUACCUGGGUUUGAACGUAGGACGACAGUCGCCGAAAGGUGACCUCCCUUCGGGGCGGCCUACGAGGUGCUGCAUGGUUGUCGUCAGCUCGUGCCGUGAGGUGUCGGAUUAAGUUCCAUAACGAGCGCAACCCUUAUCGUUAGUUGCCAGCGGGUAAUGCCGGGGACUCUAACGAAACUGCCGGUGUAAACCGUGAGGAAGGUGGGGAUGACGUCAAAUCAGCACGGCCCUUACAUCCAGGGCUACACACGUGUUACAAUGGCCGGUACAGAAGGCUGCUACCCCGCGAGGGGAUGCUAAUCCCGAAAGCCGGUCUCAGUUCGGAUUGAAGUCUGCAACUCGACUUCAUGAAGCUGGAUUCGCUAGUAAUCGCGCAUCAGCAACGGCGCGGUGAAUACGUUCCCGGGCCUUGUACACACCGCCCGU